CCUAAAUUACAUGCAAGUCGAGCGGACAGAUGGGAGCUUGCUCCCUGAUGUUAGCGGCGGACGGGUGAGUAACACGUGGGUAACCUGCCUGUAAGACUGGGAUAACUCCGGGAAACCGGGGCUAAUACCGGAUGGUUGUUUGAACCGCAUGGUUCAGACAUAAAAGGUGGCUUCGGCUACCACUUACAGAUGGACCCGCGGCGCAUUAGCUAGUUGGUGAGGUAACGGCUCACCAAGGCGACGAUGCGUAGCCGACCUGAGAGGGUGAUCGGCCACACUGGGACUGAGACACGGCCCAGACUCCUACGGGAGGCAGCAGUAGGGAAUCUUCCGCAAUGGACGAAAGUCUGACGGAGCAACGCCGCGUGAGUGAUGAAGGUUUUCGGAUCGUAAAGCUCUGUUGUUAGGGAAGAACAAGUGCCGUUCAAAUAGGGCGGCACCUUGACGGUACCUAACCGGAAUGCCACGGCUAACUAC
rnacentral:rRNA from 1 species